UCUAUAUCGGGUAGGUGUUGAUUAGGCCAUGAACCUUUUUCAUUAAUGCUAAUAGAUAUAGGCCAAUAUCCAGCUCAAGGAUAUUUUGCCAUAAUUAAUUCUAUGUAAACUAGAAAACUUUAUAUUCCGAAUUCUCAUUGCGUAGACCACCUUUUUCCAAUCAUAUAAAAAUAUAGGAACAUGUGAACAGAAGCCCUCAAAGCUAGACUUGCUCCUCUAUAUUGAAAGCAAUUAACACCCUCAUGACUUACAAGAUUGCCACCACUGCUACAUCCAUCUUUAUAUUAGCAGUCCUGGUGUCUUGCAGUGAAUCUAGACUCGGAUGCAAGCGCAGAGCUAGGGUGGCAAUCUGCCGUCCUGCUGUUUGCAUGGAACGAUGCAAAGUGGAAGGCUAUCAAGAUGGAUAUUGUUCACCAGUGGAAAGAUUAUUCUAUUGUUGUUUUAAUGUGACGAAACAACCUGUAGGGAAAAUCAUCGAUUCGACUCAUUAUGUGGGUUCAGGUGCUGACUAAUAAGUAAGAUGAAGACCAAUGUGAUAAAGCUGACACAAUUUUGUGUCCUUUGAAUAAAUUCGUUUGUCAAGUA